UACAUGGGGUGCAAACGUUGCUCGGAAUCAUUGGGCGUAAAGCGCGCGUAGGCGGUUCCUUAAGUCGGAUGUGAAAGCCCUCGGCUUAACCGAGGAAGUGCAUCCGAAACUGAGUAGCUAGAGUACUAAAGAGGGUCGCGGAAUUCCCGGUGUAGAGGUGAAAUUCGUAGAUAUCGGGAGGAACACCGGUGGCGAAGGCGGCUCACCGGAGCGGUACUGACGCUGAUGCGCGAAAGCGUGGGGAGCAAACAGG
rnacentral:rRNA from 1 species